UACCAGCACCCCGAGUGGUCGGGACGAUUAUUGGGCCUAAAGCAUCCGUAGCCGGCCUUACAAGUCCUCCGUUAAAUCCAGCUGCUUAACAGAUGGGCUGCGGAGGAUACUAUAAGACUAGGAGGCAGGAGAGGCAAGCGGUACUCAGUGGGUAGGGGUAAAAUCCGUUGAUCCAUUGAAGACCACCAGUGGCGAAGGCGGCUUGCCAGAAUGCGCUCGACGGUGAAGGAUGAAAGCUGGGGGAGCAAACCGGG
rnacentral:rRNA from 1 species